rnacentral:lncRNA from 1 species
GAGCUGUUUGAUUUCUUGAUCAUAGUCCUGCCACUCUGGAACGAUACGCAUUGCUGCCUGCAGCUUGGGCUCUUUGGUCAUUGGGUUAUUACACAGAUCAAUGGUUUUUGCUCUCUUCUUUGAGGAAUCAUCACACCACGUUUCACACCAAAGCCACUCCUGUGGCAGCGAUUUGAUUGGCACCUGGUGGAUCAUGUUGUUGGGCAAAUCCUGCAGUGAAGAAUGAGACUGAGCAGCAGUUUCCAUGGUGCAGGGCAGGUGGUGAACAGUUGUCCCACCACACAGCACUGAGAAGUUUUGUAACUUCUGAAAAUAGAGGGUUUUUUUCCCCAGAGCAAAUGAAUGGC